rnacentral:tRNA from 1 species
UCCCUGGUAGCUCAGCGGUUAAAGCGUCUGCCUGCAAUGCAGGGGACCUGGGUUCAAUCCCUGGAUUGGGAA